GUAGGUGGCAAGCGUUGUCCGGAAUUAUUGGGCGUAAAGCGCGCGCAGGCGGUCCUUUAAGUCUGAUGUGAAAGCCCACGGCUCAACCGUGGAGGGUCAUUGGAAACUGGAGAACUUGAGUACAGAAGAGGAAAGCGGAAUUCCACGUGUAGCGGUGAAAUGCGUAGAGAUGUGGAGGAACACCAGUGGCGAAGGCGGCUUUCUGGUCCGUAACUGACGCUGAGGCGCGAAAGCGUGGGGAGCAAACAGGGAUUAGAUACCCUGGUAGUCCACGCCGUAAACGAUGAGUGCUAAGUGUUAGGGGGUUUCCCGCCCCUUAGUGCUGCAGCUAACGCAUUAAGCACUCCGCCUGGGGAGUACGGCCGCAAGGCUG
rnacentral:rRNA from 1 species